AUUGAACGCUGGCGGCAGGCCUAACACAUGCAAGUCGAGCGGAACGGCGGACGGGUGGGUAAUGACUAGAAGGCUGCCUGGUCGUGGGGGAUGACGUACGGCUAGGGACGCUAAUAACGCACGCUCUCAAUUGGACGUACGUGGGAUUGGCUAGCUGGUGGGGUAAUGGCUUACCAAGGCGACGAUCCGUAACUGGUCUGAGAGGAUGAUCAGUCACACUGGAACUGAGACACGGUCCAGACUCCUACGGGAGGCAGCAGUGGGGAAUAUUGGACAAUGGGCGAAAGCCUGAUCCAGCCAUGCCGCGUGUGUGAAGAAGGUCUUCGGAUUGUAAAGCACUUUCAGUCGGGAGGCGUUACCAACAGAAGAAGCACCGGCUAACUCCGUGCCAGCAGCCGCGGUAAUAC
rnacentral:rRNA from 1 species